CCGCCCGUCACACCAUGGGAGUUUGUUGCACCAGAAGCAGGUAGCUUAACCGCAAGGGGGGCGCUUGCCACGGUGUGGCCGAUGACUGGGGUG
rnacentral:rRNA from 1 species